UCCUGGUGGCUCAGUGGUAAAGAAUCUGCCUGCAAUGCAGGAGACUCGGGUUCGAUCCCUGGGUCAGGAA
rnacentral:tRNA from 1 species